rnacentral:rRNA from 1 species
GACGAACGCUGGCGGCGUGCUUAACACAUGCAAGUCGAACGGAAAGGCCCAGCUUGCUGGGUGCUCGAGUGGCGAACGGGUGAGUAACACGUGGGUGAUCUGCCCCUAACUUCGGGAUAAGCUUGGGAAACUGGGUCUAAUACCGGAUAGGACAAUCGUUUAGUGUCGGUUGUGGAAAGUUUUUUCGGUUAGGGAUGAGCCCGCGGCCUAUCAGCUUGUUGGUGGGGUAAUGGCCUACCAAGGCGUCGACGGGUAGCCGGCCUGAGAGGGUGGACGGCCACAUUGGGACUGAGAUACGGCCCAGACUCCUACGGGAGGCAGAAGUGGGGAAGAUUGCACAAUGGGCGGAAGCCUGAUGCAGCGACGCCGCGUGGGGGAUGACGGCCUUCGGGUUGUAAACCUCUUUCGACAGGGACGAAGCUUUGGUGACGGUACCUGUAGAAGAAGCACCGGCUAACUACGUG